CGGGAUGUAGCUCAGCCCGGUAGAGCACACGUCUGGGGGGCGUGGGGUCGCAAGUUCGAAUCUUGUCAUCCCGA
rnacentral:tRNA from 1 species